CAACCCCUCAAGCUCAGCUUGGUGUUGGGGCCUGCCGCAGUGGCAGCCCUUAAAAUCAGUGGCGGUGCCACCUGGCUCUAAGCGUAGUAACUCUUCUCGCUACAGGGUCCUGGUGAGCGCCUGCCAUCAACCCAAUACUUUCUAUGG
rnacentral:misc_RNA from 1 species